rnacentral:rRNA from 1 species
AUUCCAGCUCCAAUAGCGUAUAUUAAAGUUGUUGCGGUUAAAAAGCUCGUAGUUGGAUUUCUGCUGAGGACGACUGGUCCGCCCCCUGGGUGAGCAUCUGGUUCGGCCUGGGCAUCUUCUUGGGGAACGUAUCUGCACUUGAUUGUGUGGUGCGGUAUCCAGGACUUUUACUUUGAGGAAAUUAGAGUGUUUAAAGCGGGCUGUUAGCUUGAAUACAUUAGCAUGGAAUAAUGAUAUAGGACUUUGGGACUAUAUUCGUUGGUUGAGUACCGAAGUAAUGAUUAAUAGGGAUAGUUGGGGGUAUUCAUAUUUGACUGUCAGAGGUGAAAUUCUUGGAUUUAUUAAAGAUGAACAACAGCGAAAGCAUUUACCAAGGAUGUUUUCAUUA